rnacentral:tRNA from 1 species
GGGCCUUUAGCUCAGUUGGCUAGAGCGCCUCCAUGGCAUGGAGGAGGUCAAGGGUUCAAGUCCCUUAAGGUCCA